AACGAACGCUGGCGGCAGGCCUAACACAUGCAAGUCGAACGCCGUAGCAAUACGGAGUGGCAGACGGGUGAGUAACGCGUGGGAACAUACCCCUCGGUUCGGAAUAACUUAGGGAAACUUGAGCUAAUACCGGAUACGUCCGAGGUUUUAACCGGCCUCGGAGAAAGAUUUAUCGCCGGAGGAUUGGCCCGCGUCUGAUUAGCUUGUUGGUGAGGUAAUGGCUCACCAAGGCGACGAUCAGAGCUGGUCUGAGAGGAUGAUCAGCCACAUUGGGACUGAGACACGGCCCAAACUCCUACGGGAGGCAGCAGUGGGGAAUAUUGGACAAUGGGCGAAAGCCUGAUCCAGCCAUGCCGCGUGAGUGAUGAAGGCC
rnacentral:rRNA from 1 species